UUCGCCUUGACUUCAGCGGAGAAAAACUCCGAGCGAAAAGGAAAAAGGAAGGCAACGGACUAUGAUAGCUACGAUUGAAAAACGGACAGCGAUCGAGGUACAGAAAGCUCUGUCACCGCAAGGACUGGGGCUCCCAUCGGGAGUCCCAGCUUUUGAGGAAGUUUUCGACACAAAACAGGACAACUUACUUAGGGUGACAGAAGCUCGGAUCCCCGAACUCAAGCC
rnacentral:lncRNA from 1 species